UCGCUCCGGAUUGGUCGAGAUGCCUGCGCAUCUGAGAGACGACGUCACGCAACCUUCGAAAAAGUGUACUUUUUCGUCGCCUUAAAGGAAAUGCUACUGCACGUUCGGCUGGUGGAGUAAGUGGACAUAGGAUUGGUUCUCAGGUGUGUUCACUGUCUGUAUGGAUUUGUUUCCUCCGGAUACUCCUUUUCCAACUUAUGUCCUCUGGAUACUCUGGUUUUCUCCCAUCUACAUGCAGAAGAUGGAAUGGCAAGUGUAAACUGAUGUGUAAAUAGAUGCAAGUGAGUGAAUAGAUGAAUAGAUUUUGGUAGAUGCUAAUUACAUUUCGUUGCCUUGUACCUGUACUGACAAUAAAGUUGAAUCUAUCUA